GCUUGUCUCAAAGAUUAAGCCAUGCAUGUCUAAGUGUAAAUACGUCUACACUGUGAAACUGCGAAUGGCUCAUUAAAUCAGUUAUCGUUUAUUUGAUAGUACCUUUACCUGGAUAACCGUGGUAAUUCUAGAGCUAAUACAUGCUAAAAACCUCGACUUCGGAAGGGGUGUAUUUAUUAGAUAAAAAACCAAUGCCCUUUGGGCUCCUUGGUGAUUCAUAAUAACUUAACGAAUCGCAUGGCCUUGCGCCGGCGAUGGUUCAUUCAAAUUUCUGCCCUAUCAACUUUCGAUGGUAGGAUAGUGGCCUACCAUGGUCUUAACGGGUAACGGGGAAUUAGGGUUCUAUUCCGGAGAGGGAGCCUGAGAAACGGCUACCACAUCCAAGGAAGGCAGCAGG
rnacentral:rRNA from 1 species